GAAGAGGGAGCUGCUUUGGCUGCCACCAUUCUGGGGACGGUGGUCAAGGAGGAUGUUAUAACUGAGUCAAAGCUGGUCUUCAGGUGUUGUUGGAGACCUGUGUCAGGACAAGAUGAAUCCAGCUGCCAAUCCCUGGUGAGAUCCUGGUGCAUCGGGCAGUCAGGAAGGAGAACCUUCCCGAAUGGGAGGAUGGAAUCCCAGCGGACACCUUUAAUUCUUUCCUGGAGACACACCCAGGAAGUGAGAAGAGGACAUUAUUAUUUCUUAAUAUCUGGAUUUCUUUUCUAAUUACAAAGAAACACAUAACUGACUGUAGAAAACUUGGAAA